AGGAAUAUUGGUCAAUGGGCGCGAGCCUGAACCAGCCAAGUAGCGUGAAGGAUGAAGGUCCUACGGAUUGUAAACUUCUUUUAUACGGGAAUAAAGUGGUCCACGUGUGGAUUUUUGCAUGUACCGUAUGAAUAAGCAUCGGCUAACUCCGUGCCAGCAGCCGCGGUAAUACGGAGGAUGCGAGCGUUAUCCGGAUUUAUUGGGUUUAAAGGGAGCGCAGACGGGGGAUUAAGUCAGUUGUGAAAGUUUGCGGCUCAACCGUAAAAUUGCAGUUGAUACUGGUUCCCUUGAGUGCAGUUGAGGCAGGCGGAAUUCGUGGUGUAGCGGUGAAAUGCAUAGAUAUCACGAAGAACCCCGAUUGCGAAGGCAGCCUGCUAAGCUGUAACUGACGUUGAGGCUCGAAAGUGUGGGUAUCAAACAGGAUUAGAUACCCUGGUAGUCCACACGGUAAACGAUGGAUACUCGCUGUUGGCGAUAUACUGUCAGCGGCCAAGCGAAAGCAUUAAGUAUCCCACCUGGGGAGUACGCCGGCAACGGUGAAACUCAAAGGAAUUGACGGGGGCCCGCACAAGCGGAGGAACAUGUGGUUUAAUUCGAUGAUACGCGAGGAACCUUACCCGGGCUUAAAUUGCAGACGAAUUACUUGGAAACAGGUAAGCCGCAAGGCGUCUGUGAAGGUGCUGCAUGGUUGUCGUCAGCUCGUGCCGUGAGGUGUCGGCUUAAGUGCCAUAACGAGCGCAACCCUCGUGGCCAGUUACUAGCAGGUAAUGCUGAGGACUCUGGCCAGACUGCCAUCGUAAGAUGCGAGGAAGGUGGGGAUGACGUCAAAUCAGCACGGCCCUUACGUCCGGGGCUACACACGUGUUACAAUGGGAGGUACAGAAGGCAGCUACCCGGCGACGGGAUGCCAAUCUCCAAAGCCUCUCUCAGUUCGGACUGGAGUCUGCAACCCGACUCCACGAAGCUGGAUUCGCUAGUAAUCGCGCAUCAGCCACGGCGCGGUGAAUACGUUCCCG
rnacentral:rRNA from 1 species